GAAACCCUCUCCCUCACCCUGUCUUUAAAAACCUGAAAGCCAUUGGGGAGUUCGAGUCUUUUGAGCCUGAGCUGCACUUACUGCUUGCCUGGCCUUGUACUAAACGCGGCACUUUCCUUCACCGCAACCUUCAGUAGAUUGGCUUCACUGUGUGCCACCCAUCCUCCAGUGUCCUGCGCCCCUGUCCUCACCCAGCCCACCCAUUUGAGGUCUCCUUCAGCCACCAAAGCUACUUGGUGGAAGGGCUGGUGCCAAUGAAUAUCAACCCCAAUGGCAAAGGUUGGAUCUGCUGGGCUGCCACCAAGGCAAAGUGAGAGCUGAGAAAUGAGGAUUUGCUUGUAGAACAGACCACUUUCAAUCAGUUUGAAAUCAUCCAAGAAUAAAGAACUGAGAGUUUAAAAUUCCUGCUUAUUCUCUAGUUUUCAAGUCUAAAAGAUGAAAAAUACUGUGUAAUUCAUCUUAUAGUAUUAAUGGAUAAAACAGAAGCCUCUACAUAGUCCUUUUAAGCAGCAGCUCAUUCAAAAAUGGAUUGGAAUGUUCUCUCACUCUCAGAAUGUUCUUGUAUAUCAAUUUUCUUAUGAGAAGUUAAUAUUGAGUAACAGCAGCAUUGUUUGUCAAUAUCUUCAUGUGAUUGUUAGCGAUACAUCCUUGCACACAUUGUUUCAGACAAAAAAUUAGUAUUUUGCAUUAGAAAUGGAUAAUUAGGCAAUAAGAUACAAAAGCGAGUGUGGUUAUCAUGAGAUAAACACACACAUGGGGUGUUAUGAGGCACAGCCAAGUGUCUGUAAUCCCUCUAGGGUAUGAUUAUCUCGUGAUAACCACACACCCUGGAGUUGCCUUAUUGCUAUUAUAAAAUAUCUUUAUUAUAGGAAGAAAUGUGCAUUUUUGUGCAGAAAGGAGAUGGAGCUGGCAAUUUAGAAUGCUGAACAGCAGUUUCAGCUGAGCUAUGUGGUGUACAUAGAUUAAUCUAUCCCAUUGGAAUGUUUCCCCAGCCAAAAAAAAAUGUUCACUAAAUCCAAGCAGUCAUAAUCUGUAGUGAUGUGCAGGUAUUUGGAGCAUUUGAGAAAUUCCCUGCCUUGUUUUUAAGUUGUUGGUUUGAUGGUUGCAUUAGGUGAAUGCUGAGAUGCACAAUGACAAGAGAAUCUACACAGUGUUCUGAGAACCCAAAUAGUGGUUCAGGGAACUGUCAAAAUUCUGGACCAUAGUUUUAUCUGGUUUCUUGAUCUGAAUAAAUGGCUUAAAUUUCUUGAGGAAACAGCAUCUGAUAACAGAAACAUUGGUAAGAGAGAGAAAUCACUAGGGUGGAAACAUGAAGACUGAAAUGAACUCAAAAUUGUGAGAAGAGAGUUAAUGAAUGUCCCAUAAGACAUUACAAACUUGAGGUCAAUAGCCUAAAGAAACCUAGGGCUUUAAGCCUAAAGAAAGUCAAGGAAAAGAAUGUUAUACAUCAAUAAAUACCUGCAUUAUAAUCAUACGGACUGGAUUCAUUCUCUAUGGCUCCAGAGACAGAAUUAACUUAAAAAAUCAUAGGGGAAUUUCAUUUUCCCAUAAGAACCCACUUCUAAAAUUUGAGUGGUUAUAAAAUAUACCUGUUUUUCCUUAAAAAAAAAAAAUUCAGCAAAGGCUGAGUGUUAUAUUGAGAGAUUGCUCCAUUAGAGAUUUCCCAUAUCUUAAAAAUUGAUUCUAUAAUAAAAAAAAGUUAUGGAUAUAUAUAAAUAAAUCUGAGAAGAUUCAACAUCACCUAAUAUGUAAGAACUUAAAAGAGACUGAAUCUAAAGUAUUUCUUAGAUAUUUUCUGUUAGGAAUAGAAAUAGCUAGUUCUUAUAUGUAUCAUGAAUUUUUAGGUAUACUAAAUAUAUUAAAAUAGGAUUCAAUUGUAUUGAGAUACUCUUGUGUGUAAGUAUAGAGGAUUGACUACAUAUAUCCUAUUUGAUUUAAAAGUUACAGCUCAUUUUUCUAUGAAUUUGAUUGUUAACCUAAUAUUCUAAAACUGUGUUGAAAUCAGGAUGGGCAGUAAACAUUUCAAUAAAUUUCUAUUGUUCAAUUGUGAGGUAAAAUCAGCAAUGAGCCAAUCUGUAAAUUGUAUGUAAAAUAAAAAUCAAUAUUUAUAUUCUUGUACAGGCAACCAAAUCCUUGGGAAAAACUUCAGAGAUUUUAGCCCAGUUUUGGUACUUUCACAGUGCUAAUCAAAAUGUGUCAACUCUAAUAUAAGACUGUUGCUUAAUAUGGGAUAUAAAGUUGAUGUAAUUGAUUUGAUUGAAUUUAUUUAGAAACCUAAGAAUAUAUGUCACAUUUUAAAAAAAUGAAGCAAAGCCAAUAAUUGGUUUAAGUGUAAAAAUAAACUGUAUCUAGAGAUCUCCUACCAGCCAUGGUGAUGCUUUAUUGGUUUCUGCAUUUCACUAACUGAUAUGCUUUCAUGUAAAAUCAAUACCUCACAAUCUAAUAUAUUUUGCAUCAUCAUGGUAUGGGUUCUAUGGGUUAAACUACAUUUUUGAUGCAGAACUCCAGAUCUUUAUUUUACAGUAAA